AAGCAUCAGCUGAAAGUCUAUUUCCAAGUCCUGUACAGUUUUAGUCUGCAAAAUGAAGCUCUUGGCCAUUGCUGUCAUCUUGUGCCUCGCUGUGGCGUACACUCAGGCUUUACCUGCCGAAGUGGCAUCCUCGCCACUGC